AGUGCAUCAGGCGGAUGCCUUGGCGAUGAUAGGCGACGAAGGACGUGUAAGCCUGCGAAAAGCGCGGGGGAGCUGGCAAUAAAGCUAUGAUUCCGCGAUGUCCGAAUGGGGAAACCCACUGCAUUCUGUGCAGUAUCCUAAGUUGAAUACAUAGGCUUAGAGAAGCGAACCCGGAGAACUGAACCAUCUAAGUACCCGGAGGAAAAGAAAUCAACCGAGAUUCCGCAAGUAGUGGCGAGCGAACGCGGAGGAGCCUGUACGUAAUAACUGUCGAGAUAGAAGAACAAGCUGGGAAGCUUGACCAUAGCGGGUGACAGUCCCGUAUUCGAAAUCUCAACAGCGGUACUAAGCGUACGAAAAGUAGGGCGGGACACGUGAAAUCCUGUCUGAAUAUGGGGGGACCAUCCUCCAAGGCUAAAUACUCAUCAUCGACCGAUAGUGAACCAGUACCGUGAGGGAAAGGCGAAAAGAACCCCGGGAGGGGAGUGAAACAGAACCUGAAACCUGAUGCAUACAAACAGUGGGAGCGCCCUAGUGGUGUGACUGCGUACCUUUUGUAUAAUGGGUCAACGACUUACAUUCAGUAGCGAGCUUAACCGGAUAGGGGAGGCGUAGGGAAACCGAGUCUUAAUAGGGCGAUGAGUUGCUGGGUGUAGACCCGAAACCGAGUGAUCUAUCCAUGGUCAGGUUGAAGGUGCCGUAACAGGUACUGGAGGACCGAACCCACGCAUGUUGCAAAAUGCGGGGAUGAGCUGUGGGUAGGGGUGAAAGGCUAAACAAACUCGGAGAUAGCUGGUUCUCCCCGAAAACUAUUUAGGUAGUGCCUCGAGCAAGACACUGAUGGGGGUAAAGCACUGUUAUGGCUAGGGGGUUAUUGCAACUUACCAACCCAUGGCAAACUCAGAAUACCAUCAAGUGGUUCCUCGGGAGACAGACAGCGGGUGCUAACGUCCGUUGUCAAGAGGGAAACAACCCAGACCGUCGGCUAAGGUCCCAAAUGAUAGAUUAAGUGGUAAACGAAGUGGGAAGGCACAGACAGCCAGGAUGUUGGCUUAGAAGCAGCCAUCAUUUAAAGAAAGCGUAAUAGCUCACUGGUCGAGUCGUCCUGCGCGGAAGAUGUAACGGGGCUCAAAUCUAUAACCGAAGCUGCGGAUGCCGGUUUACCGGCAUGGUAGGGGAGCGUUCUGUAGGCUGAUGAAGGUGCAUUGUAAAGUGUGCUGGAGGUAUCAGAAGUGCGAAUGUUGACAUGAGUAGCGAUAAAGCGGGUGAAAAGCCCGCUCGCCGAAAGCCCAAGGUUUCCUACGCAACGUUCAUCGGCGUAGGGUAAGUCGGCCCCUAAGGCGAGGCAGAAAUGCGUAGUCGAUGGGAAACAGGUUAAUAUUCCUGUACUUGAUUCAAAUGCGAUGUGGGGACGGAGAAGGUUAGGUUGGCAAGCUGUUGGAAUAGCUUGUUUAAGCCGGUAGGUGGAAGACUUAGGCAAAUCCGGGUUUUCUUAACACCGAGAAGUGAUGACGAGUGUCUACGGACACGAAGCAACCGAUACCACGCUUCCAGGAAAAGCCACUAAGCUUCAGUUUGAAUCGAACCGUACCGCAAACCGACACAGGUGGGCAGGAUGAGAAUUCUAAGGCGCUUGAGAGAACUCGGGAGAAGGAACUCGGCAAAUUGAUACCGUAACUUCGGGAGAAGGUAUGCCCUCUAAGGUUAAGGACUUGCUCCGUAAGCCCCGGAGGGUCGCAGAGAAUAGGUGGCUGCGACUGUUUAUUAAAAACACAGCACUCUGCCAACACGAAAGUGGACGUAUAGGGUGUGACGCCUGCCCGGUGCCGGAAGGUUAAUUGAAGAUGUGCAAGCAUCGGAUCGAAGCCCCGGUAAACGGCGGCCGUAACUAUAACGGUCCUAAGGUAGCGAAAUUCCUUGUCGGGUAAGUUCCGACCCGCACGAAUGGCGUAACGAUGGCCACACUGUCUCCUCCCGAGACUCAGCGAAGUUGAAGUGGUUGUGAAGAUGCAAUCUACCCGCUGCUAGACGGAAAGACCCCGUGAACCUUUACUGUAGCUUUGCAUUGGACUUUGAAGUCACUUGUGUAGGAUAGGUGGGAGGCUUGGAAGCAGAGACGCCAGUCUCUGUGGAGUCGUCCUUGAAAUACCACCCUGGUGUCUUUGAGGUUCUAACCCAGACCCGUCAUCCGGGUCGGGGACCGUGCAUGGUAGGCAGUUUGACUGGGGCGGUCUCCUCCCAAAGCGUAACGGAGGAGUUCGAAGGUUACCUAGGUCCGGUCGGAAAUCGGACUGAUAGUGCAAUGGCAAAAGGUAGCUUAACUGCGAGACCGACAAGUCGGGCAGGUGCGAAAGCAGGACAUAGUGAUCCGGUGGUUCUGUAUGGAAGGGCCAUCGCUCAACGGAUAAAAGGUACUCCGGGGAUAACAGGCUGAUUCCGCCCAAGAGUUCAUAUCGACGGCGGAGUUUGGCACCUCGAUGUCGGCUCAUCACAUCCUGGGGCUGUAGUCGGUCCCAAGGGUAUGGCUGUUCGCCAUUUAAAGUGGUACGUGAGCUGGGUUUAAAACGUCGUGAGACAGUUUGGUCCCUAUCUGCAGUGGGCGUUGGAAGUUUGACGGGGGCUGCUCCUAGUACGAGAGGACCGGAGUGGACGAACCUCUGGUGUACCGGUUGUAACGCCAGUUGCAUAGCCGGGUAGCUAAGUUCGGAAGAGAUAAGCGCUGAAAGCAUCUAAGCGCGAAACUCGCCUGAAGAUGAGACUUCCCUUGCGGUUUAACCGCACUAAAGGGUCGUUCGAGACCAGGACGUUGA
rnacentral:rRNA from 1 species